rnacentral:lncRNA from 1 species
UACUCAGGAUCAAACUCAGGACCUUGCGCUUGCGAGGCAGGUGUGGUGCCCCUGAGCUACAUCCCUGGCCCUCUUGUUUGUUUCUUCUAAGCCACCACCACAACAGAUAUUUUAAGGCAUUCAAUGUAAUGAAGCCAGGGAAAGAUUCCUGUAAUCUGGAAGUAAGCUGUUUCCAGUAAAAUACCUUGGUAGGAAAUCCCUGACCUGCAGUCCCUUUGGGGCAAGCGCUGUGGAGAAGUUCCUCUGUGUGAUUAUUUAGUACAUGAUCCUUGUCCCUGGAUAUCUGGUAGGACUCCUUCAGGGUUUUUCUUUUGGGAUGUGUGUAUGCAGUUGUUCCUCAAUCCAGCCCGUAUAAAUACAAGAAAUCCUGAGGAAACAAACUUUUUAGUACUUUACCA